GCGGCCGCGGCCCAGCCGGCGCCUCGCGGAUACCCGCACCGGGGAGGCCGCCUGCUCCGUGCUGGGACUAAAUUGGUGGAAUUGAUCAUCACUUUUGAUGUGAAGACUUCAUCACUGACAUCUUUAUGUUAAUUUGUCAUCCUCCAGGAAAUAAUACGGCUCAUCAGUUGCAAUAACUGCUUUGGCUAUACACUGACAUUUAUUUGGGGAAAAACCCAAACAAAUAAGCAAAAAACCCAACAGACAAAACCCAACAAACUUUUGAAGACUUGUGUCAAAUGACGUCAAUGGCCAGUUUGUUCUCCUUUACUAGCCCAGCUGUAAAGCGUCUGUUGGGCUGGAAACAAGGAGAUGAAGAGGAAAAAUGGGCAGAAAAAGCUGUUGAUGCUUUGGUUAAAAAGCUGAAAAAGAAAAAGGGUGCUAUGGAAGAACUGGAGAAAGCCUUGAGCAGUCCAGGGCAGCCCAGCAAGUGCGUUACCAUCCCCCGCUCUUUAGAUGGACGGCUCCAGGUUUCUCACAGGAAAGGUCUUCCCCACGUGAUUUACUGCCGUGUGUGGCGCUGGCCGGAUCUCCAAAGCCAUCAUGAGCUGAAGCCAUUGGAUAUUUGUGAAUUCCCUUUUGGAUCCAAACAAAAGGAAGUCUGCAUCAAUCCAUACCACUACAAGAGGGUGGAGAGCCCAGUUCUACCUCCAGUGUUAGUGCCUAGACAUAGUGAAUUCAACCCCCAGCACAGUCUGCUAGUUCAGUUCAGGAACCUCAGCCACAACGAGCCCCACAUGCCGCACAACGCGACGUUUCCGGACUCCUUCCAGCAGCCCAACAGCACUCCGUUCUCCAUCUCACCAAACAGCCCCUACCCCCCUUCUCCAGCCAGCAGCACUUACCCGAGCUCCCCAGCCAGCUCUGGGCCAUCGAGUCCCUUUCAGCUGCCAGCUGAUACUCCACCUCCUGCUUAUAUGCCCCCUGAUGAGCAAAUGGGGCAAGAUAAUUCACAGUCUAUGGACACAAGCAAUACAAUGAUCCCUCAAAUCAUGCCAAAUAUAUCUACCCGAGAUGUUCAGCCUGUUGCCUAUGAAGAGCCCAAACACUGGUGUUCCAUUGUGUAUUAUGAAUUAAAUAACCGUGUUGGGGAGGCAUUCCAUGCAUCUUCCACAAGUGUCUUAGUAGAUGGGUUUACAGAUCCCUCUAAUAACAAGAACAGGUUCUGCUUAGGUUUGCUCUCCAAUGUUAAUCGCAACUCAACGAUCGAGAACACUCGAAGGCACAUUGGCAAAGGAGUUCAUCUCUACUAUGUUGGUGGAGAAGUCUAUGCUGAGUGUUUAAGUGAUAGCAGCAUAUUUGUACAAAGCAGGAACUGCAACUACCACCAUGGCUUUCAUCCAACAACCGUGUGCAAGAUUCCCAGUGGAUGCAGUCUGAAAAUUUUUAAUAAUCAGGAGUUUGCUCAGCUUUUAGCUCAGUCUGUCAACCAUGGAUUUGAAGCAGUAUACGAGCUCACCAAAAUGUGCACCAUUCGAAUGAGUUUUGUGAAGGGCUGGGGAGCUGAAUAUCACCGGCAGGAUGUCACAAGCACCCCGUGCUGGAUAGAAAUUCAUCUUCAUGGGCCCCUUCAGUGGCUGGAUAAAGUACUUACACAAAUGGGUUCUCCUCUUAACCCUAUCUCAUCUGUUUCAUAGUGCUGAAAUUCCAUCUUCAGCCGUAUUUUAGUGAACUUAUUCUAAUUCUAGAGAAACUUCCAGUGGAUACUGUGAGCUACAUGGAGAAUGGAUCUUAUGAUUUAACUUUUUUUUUUAGAUCCCUUUGUGACCAAUUCCACUGUGUGUAACUAAUAAGUUUUACAUUUCAAAUUGUUCUUGUGAUGCUUAAGUGACAGUUGAGCCCUAAGGGAAAAAAUAGUCUAUUCAAAAGGUCUGAACACUUUUUUCCUUCUUCCCCUUAAAACUUAAACAGACAAAUGUCUUAACUGGAAAACCUUUUUGUCCUGUAGGGACAAGAAUUAAUGAAGACUGACUUCAGAAAAUAAAUACAUAUCAUAAUUUGGGAUUGUUUUAUUGUUCAUGAAACUGUUUGAACAUGUGCAGCUCCAGCUUGCAAGCUGUAUUUUUAGCAUAGUGUUUUAACAUCUUAAGGCUGACAUCUGUCAUAAGCAAAAUUAGACUUUAUUAUGGCUAAUUUGCCUCAGAUUGAACAAUGUGAUAUUUUUUUUUAAGUGUACAUGUGAAAUAUACUUUUUACAAAUAUUGGAGUGGUGUAAAAACACUUGUAUUUUUUAUUGGAAAAUGCUGUCAUAAACACAUUGUAUGUUAAUACAGAAUAGCAGUUUUUUGCCUUUUCCCACUUUGGUUUUGUAAUAUCUCUAUUAACCACCAUUUAAAGUAGUAAUUGAUCCAAGGUAAACAUCCUGCACAUUUCUGGAGUAGUGAUUCUUGUUUUGCUUUGAUUUACACUCAUGCCAUUUGGAUUUGCUUGCCAAGGCUAUUUCUUUUUAGGUACCUUUCUCUAUUUUAACAUAAAUACUACUAUUUGUAAAUGGCAGUGCUUACUACUUUUUGGAAGGAAUAAGUUUUUUGGGUUUUUUUUUGAUGUUCUAGCUGUUUAUUUUACCUGUCUGGAAUUGAUCUGUGUUAGGCCUUUUUAGUCUCUCUGUAGACAUUUUGCAGUAUUAGUGAUUACACUGUAUUUAAUUCAUUUUCAAGUAUGAAUUUGAGUCUCUUUGAAGACUGAGUGGCUUAGAAAAUGAGUAACUGAAUGCAGAAGAUUUUACGUCCAGAUCAUGUAAUUUAAUUCAAACCUGUUGGUAAUGACCAAAAGUAAUCACUUCUUUUAGCCUGCAUGAAACAGUGCUCUUGAUCCUGUCCCUGAUGGCAGGAGUUCAAUCAGAAGACUUGCAACUAUGGUUGGCAUCUUUAUGGGAUUGAAGGACUGUGUCAAUAUGACUAUGGAAUUUCUCUCUCAUAUCUAAAGAAUCACAGAAUGUUUCUCAAGUAUGUUCAAAUACAGAUGAGUGCAUCUUCAGAAGAAGGGGAGUAACAUUAUUUGCCACUUGCCUUGGUUUCUUCCCUUUCAUUCUUUGGAGCUGCAACCCACAGACAGUUCUUUUGACUGAAUAAGAUACCAAGUCAGUUGGCCACAGGAUCCAGCUUCUGUUUUCUUCUUGGGGUCUGAUGUUUGUCAAGUUGCUGAAUAUAUAUAUAUAUUUUACACUACAGAAUAUUAUAUUUCUUGACUAGCUUAUGUAAUAAAUUACAUGGCAUAUUGAAUUAAGGAAAGACUACAAUUGUAGGUACAAGAUUUUACUUUAUCCAAAAUGUUUUUCACCUGGCUUCAUCUGUGUUCACUUGUAUGCUUAUAUGUUGCCAACUGAAUGACUCAAGAAUGGGUGUUGCAGUGGGUGUUGUGAGCCAGAGCUGGUGCUUAGUGCUAGUAUUGUGGUUAGAUUGGCUACCCAUGCACUGAACCAUAAUUUCUGCAAUAAUAUCCAGUUAACCUUCUUCUGAUGCUGUCAUUAAGUACUGAAGUGCUCUGGCAUUUUUCUGCUUGUGUACAUAUUCUGGAACUGUAAUAGCUGCAGUGCUUGAAUAUGUUUGUGACUGCUGGUUUUGGCAGGGCAGGCUUGCAGGAGCAAACCCAGUCAGAUUUGUGUGCAUUCUACUUCUCUGUUCCUCCCUAGCAGGGCUUUUUGAGAGCUUUCUGGUUAGCAAAUUUUGUGUGCUACUGGUUCAUGGUGUUGCUAAUCCAGUUUUGUUCAUCUGUGCUGCUGAUAAAAAAUUCAGAUAUGGGUGUACAGGUAGAUUGGAUGGAAAGUUGCUUGGUGACAACAAUGUGUAAAGUGUAGUGAGGGCAGGGAGUGCUGCUCAUGGUACAGCACAUUGUGCAGAAAUCACCUCUUGGUCUAGACAGAGGGAUGGAGAAAUUGGCUCAGCCAGUGGUGUGGUAGUGGCAGAUGGAGCCUUUCCAGUGUAGCCCAGUUUAGUUAGACUGAAUGUUACUCCUCAGUAAAAACUGAUUUGGCUUUUGUAAUGUAUUUUCUUCUUUCUGGGCAUCUUUCUGCUUUGCACCAAUCCCAGCACUGACUGACACCUUUGGCAAUACCAGCAGGGAGCCUGGAGCAGGCUUAUCCUGGAGGCUUUCCUGGGAGUACUUUUAUAGUCCCUGAGAUGAGACAGCAGCUUGGCUGUUGCUCCUUAGACACCUGGGCCUUGCUGGCAGUCAGGCAGUGCCUUGUGUAUCACACUAAUUAACUUCAUUGGGCAUGAAAUAGUUGCCCAUGAAGGGCUGACGCUGAGUUGUAGAAUCUACAGGACCAAAAUAAAGCCUUCUAGCAUAACUGACCAGUGAGAGACAAAUCUGACAGAACAGCCCAAUAGGCAAAAGAAUGAUAAAACAGCCCAGCUGUUCCAAUUCAGGAUAGAAUUGUUUAAAAUAUUGUAAUUAUUUUAGUUUUGCUUGAAGCAAUAACUUUUUUUCCCCACAGUAUUACAGUGUGAAAGUUGUCGAUUCUUGGGUGUAAGAUUAACUUGGAUUCUUGCAGUAUAACUCUAGAGGACAUCAUGAUGUGUCAGGCUUCCUCACUAGUCUGAAAUAAUAAAGUUUUCAGGAUAUUGUUUUACUUGCUCAGAGUGUGGCUGGUGAUGGUUUCUGGAAAAGGAAAUAAACAAAAACCAAAAAUGAAACCAAACCAUUUUCUAAAUGUUUUGCUUCAAAUGACAAACGUGUGGCUAACUUUCUUCUGUGGUUGUGAAGUCUCUGUUGAGGAGGGUUUUCCAUUCUGAAUUCAAAUCAAUAGACCAAACCAUCAGAUUACAGCAUAAUGUUGCUUUCUUGUGCUGCUCCAUAAACCUGCUUCUGUGUUUGUUGCAAGCAUAACCUUUAUGCUUUUGUUUACAUUGUAGGAAACACAGUCCUAGCAAUGAGGUUUUUUCAUUUAACUCUAAACAUCUUUUUAUUUUGUUAAUUUUAAAAUUACUAGGUUUUGCUAUGUUAUGUUUUUAAAGAUAUUUUUUGCAUACUGCUGCUCAUAUUUC